GCUAGCACUCUGCUUCUCCAUAGUUCCAGCUCAACUUUCCUCAGCCCCAAGUUAUCCUUGCCUGCUGUUGUUUUCUCUUACAGAUCACAGGACUGUGGGCUUCCUCCGUUACCGUGGGAAGAGAGAGAAGGAGAGUUUGGCAGAGCCAAGGGGGAACUAUUCCAUGUGUAGAGAAUAGCAAGAAUAAAGAAAAAAAAAACACUGGAGAUUGCAGCAAUAAUGGAAAACCAAGGAAUAGUGCCUAUUGGUAACUCCCAAUUUGUUCUGCCUAGAUUGAACUUCUUGACAGCAAGAAUUAUCUUUCUUUGUAGUCCCAGCACUUUGCACAGUGCCUGGCAACACAAUAGAUAUUUAAUAAAUGCUUUUUGACUAAC